rnacentral:rRNA from 1 species
CAGUCGCCGCGGGAAUACGAAGGGGGCUAGCGUUGUUCGGAAUCACUGGGCGUAAAGGGUGCGUAGGCGGGCAUUUAAGUCAGGGGUGAAAUCCCGAGGCUCAACCUCGGAACUGCCCUUGAUACUGGGUGUCUUGAGUCCGGAAGAGGUGAGUGGAACUGCGAGUGUAGAGGUGAAAUUCGUAGAUAUUCGCAAGAACACCGGUGGCGAAGGCGGCUCACUGGUCCGGAACUGACGCUGAGGCACGACAGCGUGGGGAGCAAACAGGAUUAGAUACCCCAGUAGUCCCUGUCUCUUAUAC